AAGGAAGAAAGAAAACUGUGAUGGACACUGCUGUGUUAUUGACCAACGAGAAUCCACUAACCUCUCCCAUCAGGGCCUUAAUGUCCUUUCAGAGGAUCAUCUCUCCCGCCCCCACAGGGAGCAGCAUGAGAAGAGACUGUUUAGACCAGGGGGAGUUUCUGCUGUUUCCCGCUGCUGUGACGGAUGCUUUAAGGUUAGUAAAUGGAUCUCCUUUACUUAUGGUCUGCUUUUUAAAAUGGUGUUUUUGCACUGGUCUCUGGGUACAGUGAGUCUGCAACUCAGCCCUUUAAGAGUGCAUUUUCCAUUCUCUACAGUUUUAUAGUUUUUUUGAACAUAAUCCUCAUUGAGUUUCAAAACCUGGUGUUUUGGGAGCUCAUCUCUCCUGUGGAGGAUCUAAGGUUUGGGGUGCCUGAUGUAGAGCUCAAAUCCAUCACUCCUCAGGGAAAAGUUCCAUACCUUUGAGAUCCCUCCUAGUUGUGCUUCCCCAUGGCUGAUGUGUUUUCCCCCCUGGCAAGUCCACAUCUCUGUGUCUCCUCCUUCCCAUCCUGAUGUUACCCUUUCAGCCUUUGUCGUGGAGGCUUUGGUCAUCCAAUUUUCAGGUUCCUUUCAGAGGGCAUUAUUCCAUAUGUAGCUGUAGAUUUGUUGGUUUGUGGAAGGAGGUGAAUUCAGGGUCUUGUUACAUUGCCAUCUCGAGACCAACUCUGUUCUGCCAUUUCUUGAGUGUGUUGCCUUGUAAUAACAAUUAUUUAUCGUGUGGCUCUCAGCUUUUUUAUCUGUAAAAUAGGGUUGAGACUAUGUCAUGUAACUGUAACCAGCAUCCCAUUGGUGAUCACUUAAUGCUCAAACACCUCCCCCAAUCUGACCUCCUUUCACAUCCCCAUCAUGAGGCAGCUAGCUGCCUGUGCAGCCAGGUCUUGGGAGGAGUUCCAUAAUGAAAGCUAAACUCACAUUUUGGGGGCAUCUGCUAUAUGCCCACACCGUGCUAAAUGUUAACAUGGAUUGUCUCAUUCAGUCUUCACAAUGGCUUUGUUAAAGUCGAAGCUUAGAGAAGUGAUCUGCUCAGGAUCACAGCACAUGGCAGGAUCGAUUUUCUAUUCAAAGUCAACAUAUUUGCUUCUAGUUAAUGUAUCGAUUUCCUGUGGGCUUGGUUAGCGUAAGCCAGUGUUGAUCCCUGAGUGAAGAGAUGAAAGGAGCACCUCGACCUGUGAGGUGGAAACCUGGUCUCUGCAGUUGUGACCUCCUGUGGCUGUUGGUUCAAGGAUGUCCAGAGUCCCAGGGCCAAGGAAUGGAAAAAUACUGCUCCGGCUCACCUACUCGCUGCCAUAGGAGCACUUGGGUGGCUGGGCCACUCUGAAUGGAGCCUGUGAUGGAGCUGAUCAUGUGAAUAAAGGCAGGGUUGCCACAAUCAGGGUCCCUGACUUUGAAUUAAUAGAACCAAUUGUGGCAACAAGGGUUCUGAAUGUCCUUCGUGACUUAGACUGAGAGCUAGACAGCCAGCCAGAAGGCCUGCAGAACUUAAACACAGAGGCAUUUAUUGUCAGAGAGGGCAAAUCUUACACUCAAAUGGGUUUUGCCAUAUACGCAUCAAAAGGGAGAUGCCCCCACCUCCCCCCAUGGUGCAGGUUCCAGUUAUCCUGUGGCCUGGCAACCCCUGUUCUCUUCCCAACAGCAGCAGAAGUUGAAGUCCCUCCAGGUUACCCAGCAGCUAGAAGGGAUGAGGCCGGACAGACUCCUGAAUGCCAUCUGCCUGAGUCCCACCUAUUCUCUAAGCUUCAGGGAAACUGGAAAACGUCCCAACUGGCAAAGCGUACUUUCUUAAAAAGCUGGACAAAAGUAUGGGGCAUUCCGUUGCUUAACAAAACAAAAUCAACUGGUCUGGUGACCUGAUGCUGCAGCAACAUCUUGGAAGAGACAGGGAGUCUCCCUGGGGAAUGAGGGGCAGGAAGAAAGGCCCAGGCAUAGAUGUCCCCCUCGGAACCUCUGCUCAGAAGGGGGCAGACGGAGGGGCCAAGCCAGUUAGAGAGGGGGUCCCUCCCUGGCUGCAUUAGGAUGGUCUCUGGUCUUCAGUGCCAGGCCUCAGUCUUCAGUCACAGGUGGGGGAAUGAGCUGCAGCUGGAAGUUCUCAUUCUGGAAGAUGCUGUUGAAAGCAGGGCCACUCUGGGAGCCACUGAACGGCCUGUAGCUGUCACUGCUGCGAUUCUGGGAGAGUUCUGUAAGGAGGGCCAGCUGCAAAGGAGGGGACACACAUCAACCAAGGUGAGUAGGGGAAGACACUGUGGGUGGGUUUGGCAGGGGGUGUGGAACAGAGUGGAGGGUCCUCAGUUCCUUGGCCUUGAAUACACAAGGGACAGCACUGUGCUGCAGGGUAUAGACCCCAGGGCUGCAUCUCACAAACAAGUAAUGUAACUUCGGGCAAGUUCAUUUCACUUUCAGGGCCCAAAUUUCCUCCUUUAAUAAUGAUGAGACUGCACUGGGGAUGUCUCAU